AUACCCGACAAAACCAAGCCCGAGACCUGCUCUAUAUUGUCAUUUUCCACUUGACUUGCUCUUUGCAACAACACAACCUUGUUUCUGCAAAGACAUUCAGCAUGUUUGUCGACUCAAAAGCAC